AACGAACGCUGGCGGCAGGCCUAACACAUGCAAGUCGAGCGAGGACUUCGGUCCUAGCGGCGGACGGGUGAGUAACGCGUGGGAACGUGCCCUUUGCUUCGGAAUAGCCCUGGGAAACUGGGAGUAAUACCGGAUGAGCCCUUUGGGGGAAAGAUUUAUCGGCGAAGGAUCGGCCCGCGAUGGAUUAGGUAGUUGGUGGGGUAAUGGCCUACCAAGCCGACGAUCCAUAGCUGGUUUGAGAGGAUGAUCAGCCACACUGGGACUGAGACACGGCCCAGACUCCUACGGGAGGCAGCAGUGGGGAAUCUUAGACAAUGGGGGAAACCCUGAUCUAGCCAUGCCGCGUGAGCGAUGAAGGCCUUAGGGUUGUAAAGCUCUUUCAGCUGGGAAGAUAAUGACGGUACCAGCAGAAGAAGCCCCGGCUAACUCCGUG
rnacentral:rRNA from 1 species